GGAUUCCCUAGUAACUGCGAGUGAAGCGGGAAGAGCUCAAAUUUUAAAUCGGACAUGUGUUUGACUGUUCGAGUUGUAAUCUAGAGAAGCGUGUUCUGUGCUGGACCGUGUACAAGUCUCCUGGAAGGGAGCGUCAUAGAGGGUGAGAAUCCCGUCUUUGACAUGGACUACCAGUGCUCUGUGAUGCGCUCUCGACGAGUCGAGUUGUUUGGGAAUGCAGCUCAAAUUGGGUGGUAAAUUCCAUCUAAAGCUAAAUAUGGGCGAGAGACCGAUAGCGAACAAGUACCGUGAGGGAAAGAUGAAAAGCACUUUGGAAAGAGAGUGAAACAGUACGUGAAAUUGCUGAAAGGGAAACGCUUGAUGUCAGUCGCAUCGAAUUCCAGGGGUCAACCUUGCCUUUGCUGCUGGGUGUAUUUCCUGGUCGAUGGGUCAGCAUCAGUCUUAGUGUGCCAUUGUACAAGGGCGAAGGAAAUGUGACACUCUUUGUGAGUGUGUUAUAGUCUUUUGUCAAAUGCAGUGGCUGGGACUGAGGAACUCAGCACAGGACCUAGAGUUGAAUUGUGCUUAGGAUGCUGGCAUAAUGGCCUUAAGCGACCCGUCUUGAAACACGGACCAAGGAGUCUAACUUGCCUGCGAGUGUUUGGGUGUUGUAAACUCGAGCGCGCAAUGAAAGUGAAUGUUGAGACCCCUGUCGUGGGGGGCAUCGACGCCCGGACCUAAGUCUUUGACAAAGGAUCUGCGGUAGAGCAUGCAUGUUGGGACCCGAAAGAUGGUGAACUAUGCCUGAAUAGGGUGAAGCCAGAGGAAACUCUGGUGGAGGCUCGUAGCGAUUCUGACGUGC
rnacentral:rRNA from 1 species